rnacentral:rRNA from 1 species
AUUGAACGCUGGCGGCAGGCCUAACACAUGCAAGUCGAGCGGAUGAGGGAAGCUUGCUUCCGAUUCAGCGGCGGACGGGUGAGUAAUGCCUAGGAAUCUGCCCGAUAGUGGGGGACAACGUUUCGAAAGGAACGCUAAUACCGCAUACGUCCUACGGGAGAAAGUGGGGGCUCUUCGGACCUCACGCUAUCGGAUGAGCCUAGGUCGGAUUAGCUAGUUGGUGGGGUAAAGGCCCACCAAGGCGACGAUCCGUAACUGGUCUGAGAGGAUGAUCAGUCACACUGGAACUGAGACACGGUCCAGACUCCUACGGGAGGCAGCAGUGGGGAAUAUUGGACAAUGGGCGAAAGCCUGAUCCAGCCAUGCCGCGUGUGUGAAGAAGGUCUUCGGAUUGUAAAGCACUUUAAGUUGGGAGGAAGGGCUGUAAGUUAAUACCUUGCAGUUUUGACGUUACCGACAGAAUAAGCACCGGCUAACUUCGUGCCAGCCGCCGCCGUAAGAC